AUUGAACGCUGGCGGCAGGCCUAACACAUGCAAGUCGAGCGGAUGAGUGGAGCUUGCUCCAUGAUUCAGCGGCGGACGGGUGAGUAAUGCCUAGGAAUCUGCCUGGUAGUGGGGGACAACGUUUCGAAAGGAACGCUAAUACCGCAUACGUCCUACGGGAGAAAGUGGGGGAUCUUCGGACCUCACGCUAUCAGAUGAGCCUAGGUCGGAUUAGCUAGUUGGUGAGGUAAAGGCUCACCAAGGCGACGAUCCGUAACUGGUCUGAGAGGAUGAUCAGUCACACUGGAACUGGGACACGGUCCAGACUCCUACGGGAGGCAGCAGUGGGGAAUAUUGGACAAUGGGCGAAAGCCUGAUCCAGCCAUGCCGCGUGUGUGAAGAAGGUCUCCGGAUUGUAAAGCACUUUAAGUUGGGGGGAAGGGCAGUAAGCUAAUACCUUGCUGUUUUGACGUUACCGACAGAAUGAGCACCGGCUAACUCUGUGCCAGCCGCCGCGGUAACAC
rnacentral:rRNA from 1 species